GAAGGACAAAAGUCAGAUUGCAAAGGGCGUUUUGUCCACAUGACUUCCUUUUUCUUUUUUUCUUUUUUGUUUGUUGUUUCUUUCCCCUUUUUUUUUCUUUU
rnacentral:ribozyme from 13 species